GUCAUUCUGUGAACAAGUUGGUUUCAAAUUCGUAUGAAAAAUAAUCAACUAAAAAUGAAGUUAUAUAUUUUUUUGGUGUUUUUAUUUUUUAACGUGUACCAUGCCAGGCAUAUUCCUGCGCCUCAAAAUAUGUUCAAAAUACCGCUGACAAGAACAACGCGAACUUCGGACGAACUUAGUACCAUUGUGACGAAUUUCAAAACAUUCAAUAAGAAAAUGAUGAACAGUGAAACGAACAUUUCUCUUGAACAAAACGAAGGUCUGAGGUAUUACGGUCCUCUUUCAAUUGGAACACCCCCUCAGAACUUCAAUGUAAUUUUUGAUACAGGAUCUUCUGCGCUGUGGGUCGUCUCUGAUGACUGCCAAUAUAGUUGUAAUAAAAGUAAUAGUCCGG